rnacentral:rRNA from 1 species
ACUUGCCAUACCACUCUGAACACGCCCGAUCUCGUCCGAUCUCGGAACCUAAGCAGGGACAGGCCGGGUCAGUACUUGGAUGGGAGACCGCCUGGGAAUACCCGGUGCUGUAAGCU